UUAAGCGACUAAGCGUACACGGUGGAUGCCCUGGCAGUCAGAGGCGAUGAAGGACGUGCUAAUCUGCGAUAAGCGUCGGUGAGGUGAUAUGAACCGUUAUAACCGGCGAUUUCCGAAUGGGGAAACCCAGUGUGUUUCGACACACUAUCAUUAACUGAAUCCAUAGGUUAAUGAGGCGAACCGGGGGAACUGAAACAUCUAAGUACCCCGAGGAAAAGAAAUCAACCGAGAUUCCCCCAGUAGCGGCGAGCGAACGGGGAGGAGCCCAGAGCCUGAAUCAGUGUGUGUGUUAGUGGAAGCGUCUGGAAAGGCGCGCGAUACAGGGUGACAGCCCCGUACACAAAAAUGCACAUAUUGUGAGCUCGAUGAGUAGGGCGGGACACGUGGUAUCCUGUCUGAAUAUGGGGGGACCAUCCUCCAAGGCUAAAUACUCCUGACUGACCGAUAGUGAACCAGUACCGUGAGGGAAAGGCGAAAAGAACCCCGGCGAGGGGAGUGAAAAAGAACCUGAAACCGUGUACGUACAAGCAGUGGGAGCCUCUUUAUGGGGUGACUGCGUACCUUUUGUAUAAUGGGUCAGCGACUUAUAUUCUGUAGCAAGGUUAACCGAAUAGGGGAGCCGAAGGGAAACCGAGUCUUAACUGGGCGUUAAGUUGCAGGGUAUAGACCCGAAACCCGGUGAUCUAGCCAUGGGCAGGUUGAAGGUUGGGUAACACUAACUGGAGGACCGAACCGACUAAUGUUGAAAAAUUAGCGGAUGACUUGUGGCUGGGGGUGAAAGGCCAAUCAAACCGGGAGAUAGCUGGUUCUCCCCGAAAGCUAUUUAGGUAGCGCCUCGUGAAUUCAUCUCCGGGGGUAGAGCACUGUUUCGGCAAGGGGGUCAUCCCGACUUACCAACCCGAUGCAAACUGCGAAUACCGGAGAAUGUUAUCACGGGAGACACACGGCGGGUGCUAACGUCCGUCGUGAAGAGGGAAACAACCCAGACCGCCAGCUAAGGUCCCAAAGUCAUGGUUAAGUGGGAAACGAUGUGGGAAGGCCCAGACAGCCAGGAUGUUGGCUUAGAAGCAGCCAUCAUUUAAAGAAAGCGUAAUAGCUCACUGGUCGAGUCGGCCUGCGCGGAAGAUGUAACGGGGCUAAACCAUGCACCGAAGCUGCGGCAGCGACACUAUGUGUUGUUGGGUAGGGGAGCGUUCUGUAAGCCUGUGAAGGUGGCCUGUGAGGGUUGCUGGAGGUAUCAGAAGUGCGAAUGCUGACAUAAGUAACGAUAAAGCGGGUGAAAAGCCCGCUCGCCGGAAGACCAAGGGUUCCUGUCCAACGUUAAUCGGGGCAGGGUGAGUCGACCCCUAAGGCGAGGCCGAAAGGCGUAGUCGAUGGGAAACAGGUUAAUAUUCCUGUACUUGGUGUUACUGCGAAGGGGGGACGGAGAAGGCUAUGUUGGCCGGGCGACGGUUGUCCCGGUUUAAGCGUGUAGGCUGGUUUUCCAGGCAAAUCCGGAAAACCAAGGCUGAGGCGUGAUGACGAGGCACUACGGUGCUGAAGCGACAAAUGCCCUGCUUCCAGGAAAAGCCUCUAAGCAUCAGGUAACAUCAAAUCGUACCCCAAACCGACACAGGUGGUCAGGUAGAGAAUACCAAGGCGCUUGAGAGAACUCGGGUGAAGGAACUAGGCAAAAUGGUGCCGUAACUUCGGGAGAAGGCACGCUGAUAUGUAGGUGAAGCGACUUGCUCGUGGAGCUGAAAUCAGUCGAAGAUACCAGCUGGCUGCAACUGUUUAUUAAAAACACAGCACUGUGCAAACACGAAAGUGGACGUAUACGGUGUGACGCCUGCCCGGUGCCGGAAGGUUAAUUGAUGGGGUUAGCGGUAACGCGAAGCUCUUGAUCGAAGCCCCGGUAAACGGCGGCCGUAACUAUAACGGUCCUAAGGUAGCGAAAUUCCUUGUCGGGUAAGUUCCGACCUGCACGAAUGGCGUAAUGAUGGCCAGGCUGUCUCCACCCGAGACUCAGUGAAAUUGAACUCGCUGUGAAGAUGCAGUGUACCCGCGGCAAGACGGAAAGACCCCGUGAACCUUUACUAUAGCUUGACACUGAACAUUGAGCCUUGAUGUGUAGGAUAGGUGGGAGGCUUUGAAGUGUGGACGCCAGUCUGCAUGGAGCCGACCUUGAAAUACCACCCUUUAAUGUUUGAUGUUCUAACGUUGGCCCGUAAUCCGGGUUGCGGACAGUGUCUGGUGGGUAGUUUGACUGGGGCGGUCUCCUCCUAAAGAGUAACGGAGGAGCACGAAGGUUGGCUAAUCCUGGUCGGACAUCAGGAGGUUAGUGCAAUGGCAUAAGCCAGCUUGACUGCGAGCGUGACGGCGCGAGCAGGUGCGAAAGCAGGUCAUAGUGAUCCGGUGGUUCUGAAUGGAAGGGCCAUCGCUCAACGGAUAAAAGGUACUCCGGGGAUAACAGGCUGAUACCGCCCAAGAGUUCAUAUCGACGGCGGUGUUUGGCACCUCGAUGUCGGCUCAUCACAUCCUGGGGCUGAAGUAGGUCCCAAGGGUAUGGCUGUUCGCCAUUUAAAGUGGUACGCGAGCUGGGUUUAGAACGUCGUGAGACAGUUCGGUCCCUAUCUGCCGUGGGCGCUGGAGAACUGAGGGGGGCUGCUCCUAGUACGAGAGGACCGGAGUGGACGCAUCACUGGUGUUCGGGUUGUCAUGCCAAUGGCACUGCCCGGUAGCUAAAUGCGGAAGAGAUAAGUGCUGAAAGCAUCUAAGCACGAAACUUGCCCCGAGAUGAGUUCUCCCUGAGACUUAGAGUCUCCUGAAGGAACGUUGAAGACGACGACGUUGAUAGGCCGGGUGUGUAAGCGCAGCGAUGCGUUGAGCUAACCGGUACUAAUGAACCGUGAGGCUUAACCU
rnacentral:rRNA from 1 species